CGGCAAGCCUCCAGCAUGGUUGGGUCUGCUGUGACCCUGUGCAUUCCUACAAUACUUGUCAGAAGUUUUGAAAUGGUUUGAGGCCUUGCCCUGCUCCAUCCAGUGUAAGGUUAUAGAACUUUCAGACAACU
ensembl:snoRNA